UACGGAGGGUGCAAGCGGUAUUCGGAAUUAUUGGGCGUAAAGGGCGCGUAGGCGGCUUUAUAAGUCUGAUGUGAAAGCCCGGGGCUUAACUCCGGAAGUGCAUUGGAUACUGUAAGGCUUGAGUAUGGGAGAGGGUAGCGGAAUUCCUGGUGUAGAGGUGAAAUUCGUAGAUAUCAGGAGGAACACCGGUGGCGAAGGCGGCUACCUGGCCCAAUACUGACGCUGAGGCGCGAAGGCGUGGGGAGCAAACAGG
rnacentral:rRNA from 1 species